UUAAAUGCUAAGACAGAGAGAAAGAUAUGAAAUUUUAUUUUAGAGAGUCGGAACAGGUGAAAGCCGACAUAAAAGGAAGUAUGUAAUAUUCACUCUGUGGCAGGUAGGCUGAAAUAACAGUAGGCUUUCUCGGUUGCCCCCGUUAUCAUAGGCUAAGAGUUGUUAGACUCUAAUGAGGUAAUCUUUGAUUAUAAAUUUAGGUGGUACCGCGAAUAUCCUUCGUCCUAUAA
rnacentral:ncRNA from 1 species